AUGUCUACAUUUUUGUACCACACUUGCGUUGACACAUGGCAAGAUUCCUCAUUUUUCUGGGGGUUUCCUUUUCUGUCCCGUGAUCUCUCUCUCCCCCUCUCUAUUUUCUUCUUCUUCUUUUUCCACUCUUAGUCUCACUCACCUUUACUCCUUCUCCUCCUCUUUUGCCGAGACACACACACACCCACACCUCUACACUUGCAACCACAACAAGGCAACACCCCCACCAUCAUCCCUUGUAAUCCUUGUGAGCCAUUGGGCCUAGAAAUAGAAGAAAAGUACCUUGAAAGCUACAUCCUCGCAUUGCACAGUACCAUCAUUGUGCAUCACUCUUCUUCGGUAAAUUUUGACCAUUUCCGGCCAAGGAGCUCGGAAAACACGAAGGAAGGUCACUGUUCAUGCUGGAAAUUUCCAAUCUGUGGUAGUUUGGCCACUUUCCAGCCCUUUUUCUUGCCAACUCCGAUUUCCAUUGGGCCUCCUAAGGGUGAAACGCAUUGCAAGGAUCUUCGAAGCCCGCGAGGCGGGUUCGACCGGAUGUCAUGUUUUGUGAGUGGGCAUUUGUUUUCCUAUAUAUAUAUAAUUAUUUAUUUAUUUAUAUACUGUUUCCAGAAACGUUUUUUUUAUUUUUUUUUAUAUGGAACUACGCUUUGUUUGCAAUGUCGUAAAUAAGUUACAUUUUAAAUAUUGCAUUGUUACACUUGUGAGUUGUAUUGUGUGAUGCUGCAGAGACUCAGGUAAGCUUCAGGUGAGUAUUAUGUGAUUGAAUGGGUUGUAUUGCAUUGGUAUGCACACAUUUAUUUAGAGCUCAUCAUGGCUGCACCCUGGUGUUAGUGCU